AAACAAAUAAAACUCCGAGCAAAAAUAUCUAAGGCGAUACACAAAGCUAUGAUAUUGCGCCGGGGCCCUGCGGGAAACGGCAGGACCUUCCAUUUUGAAAAGGGGUAUCGUUCUGAAUGAG
rnacentral:ncRNA from 2 species